AAAAGGUUAAAAGCUCGAAAAAAAAUCCUCAAUUUCCAAAACGGGAAAAAUCAUAAUUUUUUUAGAUAUUGCCGUGGUGAAAUUUCAACGUCUGUUAUGAGACAAAAUCAUUAAUGUGUGAUAUCUAUCUAUGUCGUUUAUGCAUAAAGAAAUGCUACAAUUUCGAUCCAUAAUUCACUCACAUUCCUAAUCCUAGAAAAUCCAAAACACAUCAUAAGCUCCAAAUUCCUACAUAUACUCCUCCUUCAACCCCCUUUCAUCUUCCUUCAAAUAUCCGGCGUCCACAGCAGAAGAUCAUCCAAGACAAUUCUGUUACUAAAGAUUGUUCUAGAUCGAUAGGUAAAUGGAUGGUGGAGAGUUGAUUCAUAGACGACCGCAAUCGACGACAUAUUUUGGCAGUUGCUUGCCGAUGACAACAUCUCCGUCUUGUUUUCCGGUUAAACACGAAGAUUACUACACUCGGAUCCAUCGUGCUCCGGUGAGUAAUAAUAACAGUCAUGAUGUUGUGAAUAGAAUUAAAAGAAGAUGGAGAAAUUUAUUGAGAAGAUUAGUGUGCCAGAGAAAGAUUAUGAGUAUUUGCGGAGCGACGAUGAGUAGUAGGUCUAAUAAUAAUAAACGAUUAACAUUUCAUUACGAUGCUGUUAGUUAUGCUCAGAAUUUCGAUGAAGGAUGUCAUCACCAAGAAGAUCAACGUCACAAGAUUAUCUCGUCGAACAAGAAGAACAACUCCGGCAACUUCAUCAGAGAUUUCAAAAGCAUUAGUUCUAAAGUUGCUUGUUCCCGUGUAUGACAAAGAAGACGACGAUAUUCAAGAAAACAACAAAUAAAACAUUUACAGAUCGACUGCUCGGAACUUGAAAGAUUUCCAUGUACAUGUCAAGGGGGAAAUGCCAAAGCAAUACGCUUAGUAAAUAAUUUGACGCGGCGGCGACACGGAAGUGAUCGAAAUAGUGCGUGUCGCUCAGCUGAGCAACUGAAGUGCUCGGUUCUCAGAUAAUCUGUCUACUUAUUAGUAUAUGGUUUGCCUUUGGAAUUCGUAAUUAAUCUGUUUGCUCAUUUAAAUGAGACAACAAAUACUUCGAACUUGUAUAACUCAGUACUUCGAAGUUCAACUAUCGAUGAAAGUUCUUUGUAGUUCCACCAUUUUCUGAAAA